rnacentral:rRNA from 1 species
GUAGGUGGCAAGCGUUGUCCGGAAUUAUUGGGCGUAAAGCGCGCGCAGGCGGUCCUUUAAGUCUGAUGUGAAAGCCCACGGCUCAACCGUGGAGGGUCAUUGGAAACUGGGGGGCUUGAGUACAGAAGAGGAAAGCGGAAUUCCAAGUGUAGCGGUGAAAUGCGUAGAGAUUUGGAGGAACACCAGUGGCGAAGGCGGCUUUCUGGUCUGUAACUGACGCUGAGGCGCGAAAGCGUGGGGAGCAAACAGGAUUAGAUACCCUGGUAGUCCACGCCGUAAACGAUGAGUGCUAAGUGUUAGGGGGUUUCCCGCCCCCUUAGUGCUGCAGCUAACGCAUUAAGCACUCCGCCUGGGGAGCACGGCCGCAAGGCUG